rnacentral:rRNA from 1 species
AACGAACGCUGGCGGCAUGGCUAAGACAUGCAAGUCGCACGGAAUACAGUAGCAAUAUUGUGUUUAGUGGCGAAAGGGUGAGUAAUGAAUGGGUAACGUACCUUGAACACGGGAAUAACAGCGGGCCGCAAGGCCCUUUGCGAAAGUGCUGCUAAUACCCGAUGAAGUGCCCGGGCCGCAUGGCCUGGUCACCAAAGGUGGGAUCGCAAGACCUACCGGUUGAGCGCGGCCCAUUCCUAUCAGCUAGUUGGUGAGGUAACGGCCCACCAAGGCUGCGACGGGUAGCGGGACUGAGAGGUCGGCCCGCCACAUCGGGACUGAGACACUGCCCGGACACCUACGGGUGGCUGCAGUAACGAAUAUUGGGCAAUGGGCGCAAGCCUGACCCAGCAAUGCCGCGUGCAGGAUGAAGU